GACGAACGCUGGCGGCGUGCUUAACACAUGCAAGUCGAACGGAAAGGCCUCUUUCGGGGGGUACUCGAGUGGCGAACGGGUGAGUAACACGUGAGUAACCUGCCCUUGACUUUGGGAUAACUUCAGGAAACUGGGGCUAAUACCGGAUAGGAGCUCCUGCUGCAUGGUGGGGGUUGGAAAGUUUCGGCGGUUGGGGAUGGACUCGCGGCUUAUCAGCUUGUUGGUGGGGUAGUGGCUUACCAAGGCUUUGACGGGUAGCCGGCCUGAGAGGGUGACCGGCCACAUUGGGUCUGAGAUACGGCCCAGACUCCUACGGGAGGCAGCAGUGGGGAAUAUUGCACAAUGGGUGGAAGCCUGAUGCAGCAACGCCGUGUGCGGGAUGACGGCCUUCGGGUUGUAAACCGCUUUCGCUCAUGACGAAGCUUUGUGUGACGGUAGUGGGUAAAGAAGCACCGGCUAACUACGUG
rnacentral:rRNA from 1 species